rnacentral:rRNA from 1 species
AUUGAGCGCUGGCGGCAUGCCUUACACAUGCAAGUCGAACGGUAACAGGUCUUCGGAUGCUGACGAGUGGCGAACGGGUGAGUAAUACAUCGGAACGUGCCCGAUCGUGGGGGAUAACGAAGCGAAAGCUUUGCUAAUACCGCAUAAGAUCUACGGAUGAAAGCAGGGGACCGCAAGGCCUUGCGCGAACGGAGCGGCCGAUGGCAGAUUAGGUAGUUGGUGGGAUAAAAGCUUACCAAGCCGACGAUCUGUAGCUGGUCUGAGAGGACGACCAGCCACACUGGGACUGAGACACGGCCCAGACUCCUACGGGAGGCAGCAGUGGGGAAUUUUGGACAAUGGGCGAAAGCCUGAUCCAGCCAUGCCGCGUGCAGGAUGAAGGCCUUCGGGUUGUAAACUGCUUUUGUACGGAACGAAAAGACUCUGGUUAAUACCUGGGGUCCAUGACGGUACCGUAAGAAUAAGCACCGGCUAACUACGUG